AGAGUUUGAUCCUGGCUCAGAACGAACGCUGGCGGCGUGGCUAAGGCAUGCAAGUCGAACGGACCCCUGGAUGGGUAACUUGAAAGGGAGUCAGUGGCGAACGGGUGAGUAAUGAAUGGGUAACGUCCCCCGGACUCAGGGAUAGCGGCGGGCCGCAAGGUCCUUUGCGAAAGUGUCGGUAAUACCUGAUGACCCCGCGUGACCGCAUGGUCGUGUGGGCAAAGCUCCGGCGGUCUGGGUUCGGCCCAUUUCCUAUCAGCUAGUUGGUGAGGUAAUGGCUCACCAAGGCUUCGACGGGUACCGGGUGUGAGAGCAUGACCCGGCACAUCGGAACUGAGACACGGUCCGGACACCUACGGGUGGCUGCAGCAACGAAUAUUCCGCAAUGGGCGAAAGCCUGACGGAGCGACGCCGCGUGCAGGAUGAAGUCCCUCGGGAUGUAAACUGCUGUCGGGGGUCAGAAAUCACUGAUCAACCCCACAGGAAGCCAUGGCUAACUCUGUGCCAGCAGCCGCGGUAAUACAGAGAUGGCAAGCGUUGUUCGGAAUCACUGGGCUUAAAGCGCGUGUAGGCGGGGCGGAAGGCGCCUUGUGAAAGCCCCCGGCUCAACCGGGGAACUGCUUGGCGAACCGACGCUCUUGAGGCAGGUAGAGGUCACUGGAACCAUAGGCGGAGCGGUGAAAUGCGUAGAGAUCUAUGGGAACGCCGGUGGCGAAAGCGAGUGACUGGGCCUGAUCUGACGCUGAGACGCGAAAGCGUGGGUAGCAAACAGGAUUAGAUACCCUGGUAGUCCACGCCGUAAACGAUGCGCACUAGGUAUGAGCGGUCUGACGCCGCUCGUGCCGAAACAAAAGCGUUAAGUGCGCCGCCUGGGGAGUACGGCCGCAAGGCUAAAACUCAAAGGAAUUGACGGG
rnacentral:rRNA from 1 species